CGCAGCGCCGGAUACGAAAGGUUGCGACUCCUAAGCCCGAUAAAGUGGGAUGGAAGAGAGUAGUGAGGAUAUUUGCCAAGCAGCUUCUGAUUUAAACUCAAGGUUGCAUUACCACUAAGGAGCUGGGGAUUGUGAUGUGUUGUUCUCUUGGAAAAAACCCAACCGAAGCAGAGCUUCAAGACAUGAUUAAUGAAGUGGAUGUGGAUGGUAAUGGUACCAUUGAUUUCCUUGAGGUCUUGAAAUUGCUGCUGAGUAUGGCUAUAUUCUAAGUAAUUGCAGAGCAUGUGAUGGAACUUUACACCAAGAUGACUAAUGGAUCAACAAUCAAAAAGACAAGGAGACUGCUCUUGUUUAGAGUUACAAGGAUGCUAACCCUUAUUUUGACUCAUUUCCUUUAAAGCUCUAUGUUGAAUAUGUGUUCCUAAAUCACUGUUUUUAUUUUCACUUUGCCUCAAUGUGUA